rnacentral:rRNA from 1 species
AUUGAACGCUGGCGGCAGGCUUAACACAUGCAAGUCGAACGAGUGGCGGACGGGUGAGUAAUGCUUGGGAAUCUAGCUUAUGGAGGGGGAUAACUACGGGAAACUGUAGCUAAUACCGCGUACCAUAGGAUGAGCCCACGUGGGAUUAGGUAGUUGGUGAGGUAAAGGCUCACCAAGCCGACGAUCCCUAGCUGGUCUGAGCGGAUGACCGGCCACACGGGGACUGAGACACGGCCCAGACUCCUACGGGAGGCAGCAGUGGGGAAUCUUCCACAAUGGACGAAAGUCUGACGGAGCAACGCCGCGUGGGUGAUGACGGCCUUCGGGUUGUAAAGCACUUUUGGCAGGGAAGCGGUACCUGCAGAAUAAGCACCGGCUAACUACGUGCCAGCCGCCGCGGUAAUUC